UACAGAGGUCUCAAGCGUUGUUCGGAUUCAUUGGGCGUAAAGGGUGCGUAGGUGGCGGGGUAAGUCGGAUGUGAAAUCUCAGGGCUCAACCCUGAAACUGCAUUCGAUACUGCCUUGCUCGAGGACUGGAGAGGAGAUUGGAAUUCACGGUGUAGCAGUGAAAUGCGUAGAUAUCGUGAGGAAGACCAGUGGCGAAGGCGGAUCUCUGGACCAAUAUUGACGCUGAGGAGCGAAAGCCAGGGGAGCAAACGGG
rnacentral:rRNA from 1 species